rnacentral:rRNA from 1 species
AACGAACGCUGGCGGCAUGCCUAACACAUGCAAGUCGAACGAGACCUUCGGGUCUAGUGGCGCACGGGUGCGUAACGCGUGGGAACCUGCCCUUAGGUUCGGAAUAACUCCCCGAAAGGGGUGCUAAUACCGGAUAAUGUCUUCGGACCAAAGAUUUAUCGCCUUUGGAUGGGCCCGCGUUGGAUUAGCUAGUUGGUAGGGUAAAAGCCUACCAAGGCGACGAUCCAUAGCUGGUCUGAGAGGAUGAUCAGCCACACUGGGACUGAGACACGGCCCAGACCCCUACGGGGGGCGAGAGUGGGGAAGAUUGGAAAAUGGGGGAAAGCCUUAACCCGCAAUGCCGCGGGAUGGAAGAAGGCCUUAGGGUUGUAAAGCUCUUUUACCCCGGAUUAAAAAGACAGGACCGGGAGAAAAAGGCCCGGGUAAACCC